GACGAACGCUGGCGGCGUGCCUAAUACAUACAAGUCGAGCGGACAGAAGGGAGCUUGCUCUCGGAAGUCAGCGGCGGACGGGUGAGUAACACGUGGGCAACCUGCCUGUAAGACUGGGAUAACUUCGGGAAACCGGAGCUAAUACCGGAUAGGUUCUUCCUCCGCAUGGGGGAAGAUGGAAAGACGGUUUCGGCUGUCACUUACAGAUGGGCCCGCGGCGCAUUAGCUAGUUGGUGGGGUAAUGGCCCACCAAGGCGACGAUGCGUAGCCGACCUGAGAGGGUGAUCGGCCACACUGGGACUGAGACACGGCCCAGACUCCUACGGGAGGCAGCAGUAGGGAAUCUUCCGCAAUGGACGAAAGUCUGACGGAGCAACGCCGCGUGAGCGAAGAAGGCCUUCGGGUCGUAAAGCUCUGUUGUUAGGGAAGAACAAGUGCCAGAGUAACUGCUGGCACCUUGACGGUACCUGACCAGAAAGCCACGGCUAACUACGUGCCAGCCGCCGCGGUAA
rnacentral:rRNA from 1 species